GAUGAACGUUAGCGGCAGGCUUAAUACAUGCAAGUCGAGGGGCAGCAUGGUGUAGCAAUACACUGAUGGCGACCGGCAAACGGGUGCGGAACACGUACAGAACCUUCCUUCGAGCGGGGAAUAGCCCAGAGAAAUUUGGAUUAAUACCCCAUAGUAUAUUGAAAAGGCAUCUUUUUAAUAUUAAAGAUUUAUCACUUGAAGAUGGCUGUGCGGCUGAUUAGGUAGUUGGCGGGGUAACGGCCCACCAAGCCUGCGAUCAGUAACUGGUGUGAGAGCACGACCAGUCACACGGGCACUGAGACACGGGCCCGACUCCUACGGGAGGCAGCAGUAAGGAAUAUUGGUCAAUGGACGAAAGUCUGAACCAGCCAUGCCGCGUGGAGGAUGAAGGUCCUCUGGAUUGUAAACUUCUUUUAUAUGGGACGAAAAAAGGCUUUUCUAAGUCGUCUGACGGUACCAUAUGAAUAAGCACCGGCUAACUCCGUGCCAGCCGCCGCAGUAAUAC
rnacentral:rRNA from 1 species